rnacentral:rRNA from 1 species
GACGAACGCUGGCGGCGUGCUUAACACAUGCAAGUCGAACGGAAAGGCCCCUUUGGGGGUACUCGAGUGGCGAACGGGUGAGUAACACGUGAGUAACCUGCCCUUGCCUUCGGGAUAACUUCAGGAAACUGGGGCUAAUACCGGAUAGGAAUCCUUGCUGCAUGGUGGGGGUUGGAAAGCUUCGGCGGUUUUGGAUGGACUCGCGGCUUAUCGGCUUGUUGGUGGGGUAGUGGCUUACCGAGGCUUUGACGGGUAGCCGGACUGAGGGGGCGACCGGCCACAUUGGGACUGAGGGAAGGCCCAGACGCCGACGGGAGGCAGCAGUGGGGAAUAUUGCACAAUGGACGGAAGGCUGAUGCAGCAAGGCCGCGUGUGGGAUGACGGCCUUCGGGUUGUAGAACGCUUUCAGCAGGGGCGAAGCUUGUGGUGACGGUACCUGCAGAAGAAGCACCGGCUAACUACGUG